rnacentral:tRNA from 1 species
UAGAUUGAAGCUUGCUGGUUUGGGUGCCUAGUUGUUAACUAGGAGUAUAUGGGAUCAAGGCCCAUCAACCUAG